rnacentral:rRNA from 1 species
UCCUGGCUCAGGAUGAACGCUGGCGGCGUGCCUAAUACAUGCAAGUCGAGCGAACGGAUAAGGAGCUUGCUCCUUUGAAGUUAGCGGCGGACGGGUGAGUAACACGUGGGUAACCUACCUAUAAGACUGGAAUAACUUCGGGAAACCGGAGCUAAUGCCGGAUAACAUAUAGAACCGCAUGGUUCUAUAGUGAAAGAUGGUUUUGCUAUCACUUAUAGAUGGACCCGCGCCGUAUUAGCUAGUUGGUAAGGUAAUGGCUUACCAAGGCGACGAUACGUAGCCGACCUGAGAGGGUGAUCGGCCACACUGGAACUGAGACACGGUCCAGACUCCUACGGGAGGCAGCAGUAGGGAAUCUUCCGCAAUGGGCGAAAGCCUGACGGAGCAACGCCGCGUGAGUGAUGAAGGUUUUCGGAUCGUAAAACUCUGUUAUUAGGGAAGAACAAAUGCGUAAGUAACUGUGCGCAUCUUGACGGUACCUAAUCAGAAAGCCACGGCUAACUACGUG